UGCUAAAAUCUGUAUAGACAUGAAUAAUUAAACCUAGCAGUGUCAGCCCAUAAAUGCUACACAGGUCGUGCUAGAGCUCUCCAUUCCAGAGUUCCGCAGCUUAGCAAAUUUAAAGCCUUAUUUAAAACUCUUUUAAAAAACAGCAAAAGAAGCCUUUCUCCAGUAUUUAGAUACAAUCCUGUUGCACAGAAAAUUGGCGCACAUACGGUAAAAAGUUUGGACACUGAUUCCAGUGUGUUGCAGGUCUUUCAGCCAACAUUACCACAAGGUGGCCAUUUCUUCACAGGUCGCUAUGCCUUCCAUAUAGUAAUAUAUCAAAAUAGCUGUCUAACCUAUUUAUUUAUUUAUGUAUCUAUUAUAAGAAUUAUAGCUUGGCAGGAAAUUCUGGCAAGGAUUAAUUUUAUGUAUGCGAUGUACGAUGUAAUAUUUGGAGAUGUAAUUUUAACAAACUUGAUGUUCAUAGUUUACCUAUACGCACAGCGUACAUUGAUAUUUUUUAUUUGUUUGUAUAUACUCCAGUAUGAGAUAUGUUAAUCUAUAAUCUUCAAGGAUACUUCAUUCAAAUGCGGAAUGUGGUGAUCGAGACAUUUCAAUGUUAUUAGUUUCUAGGGUAAAGUUUCUCAAACUGUGGUUUUCUGAUUGUCUCCAUCAGCAUUCGUAGAAUGACCUCAUUCAUGUUAACAUCUUAAUGCUAUGUAAGAUUUGGCUAAAUUCUUUGUGGUGCUCUGAAAUGAAAUUUAUCAUAUUAAAAUUAGAAGACUGAAAUCUAAUUAAAAGUAUUUUCACAGUAUCUAUAUCAAACAAGAUCUAGUUUGAAUAUAGGCUAGCUAUUAUGAGACCUAGUCUGGUUAAUCCCUUUCCUUCUCAAUGCUGUCAUUUAAUACGCAGUGGAUUUUAUAUGUAAUAAAUCUAUGUAAACCUCACUAAGUCUCUGGAUAAAUACUGGCUAUCACCUCUGAACCCAAGGUUAUAUCUAUCUUAUUACUUACCAUGGGCAUGAUGUAUGAUAAUAUGAAUAGUUGUGCACAGGCAAUGCUCAGGCUGUCCUGCAAUGCUUAAUAACAGUUGAUAGCUUUCUAACGUACUGCAGGGGUGUCCAAUCUUGGCCCUCUGGCAAUUUCUGGGGAUGGCUAGCAGAGAAUCAUGGGAAGUGUAAUCACAUAAUAGGUUGAGCAUAGCUAUGGGUCGACACAUAUGAUGUAGCCUUUAAAAGAGACUUUUUUUGUCCAUAUACAAUGCAUGGGAGCGAGCCACUAUAUCAUUUGUACAAGUGAUCUGCUAUUUAACUGUACUUUAUCUAAUGUCCAGAAUCUUAGAAAGAAAAGUUGCUGUGUCAAUAGUAUUGUUAAAACAAGCUGUGUUAGGAAUAGGCAACACCUAGCACCCUAACUGCUGAGUACAGCUUCCACUAUACCCAGCUGGGAGUUAUAGUCCAGUGCAGCUAUGAUGCCAGUCGAUACCUUCUCCUGCGGCUGAGUGCCUCAUUACUUACAUGUCUGCAUUAUUAGACUAUUACACAUUGCAGAAUCAUAUAUGCCACGACCAACUAUUGUUAGUAGAUCUUUAAAUGACUCCAUUACAUGGAAAUAUAAUGAAAAUUAUAUUUAAAAAUUAAAUAUUAAAUUGAAAGUAGGCUACAAUUUGAAAAUACCCCUGUUUUGUUUCUGUGGCAUUUUUAUUUCCAAUCACAUAUCCCUCCUGUUAUAUACCUCCCAUGUAGCCACUACUCACGGUAUGGUCCUAGCCACAAGCCCUGUGCUGUGUCUUGUAACUGUGAUGUAUAAUUCUGAGUGUUUGGGGUGUGGGGUUGUGCAGUUCGGGGCUCUUUGAUCUCUUAACUCUUUCACUACCAUAUGGUUCCACCGUGAAUUGUUUUUCCACCUUGCAGAGAAAGAGUUAAUAUCCUAACCAGGAGCACCAUGAUCUUGAAUACUUAAUUCAUUAAUAAAUGUGUCAGUUAUGCAUAUAACAACUCA
rnacentral:lncRNA from 1 species